GUGGGGAAUAUUGGACAAUGGGCGCAAGCCUGAUCCAGCAAUGCCGCGUGAGUGAAGAAGGCCUUAGGGUUGUAAAGCUCUUUCGCCUGCGACGAUGAUGACGGUAGCAGGAGAAGAAGCCCCGGCUAAUUCCGUGCCAGCAGCCGCGGUAAUACGGAAGGGGCUAGCGUUGUUCGGAAUCACUGGGCGUAAAGCGCGCGUAGGCGGCCGGUCAAGUGCGGCGUGAAAGUCCUGGGCUCAACCUGGGGACGGCGCUGCGGACUGUUCGGCUGGAGUCCGGAAGAGGGUGGUGGAAUUCCGAGUGUAGAGGUGAAAUUCGUAGAUAUUCGGAGGAACACCGGUGGCGAAGGCGGCCACCUGGUCCGGUACUGACGCUGAAGCGCGAAAGCGUGGGGAGCAAACAGGAUUAGAUACCCCUGUAGUCC
rnacentral:rRNA from 1 species